GAGGGUAUAUCUCAGUGGUAGAGCACAUGCCUAGCAUGCACGAAGUCCUGGGUUCAGUCCCCAGUACCUCCA
rnacentral:tRNA from 1 species